UACGUAGGGUGCGAGCGUUGUCCGGAAUUACUGGGCGUAAAGAGCUCGUAGGUGGUUUGUCGCGUUGUUCGUGAAAACCGGGGCUUAACCCUCGGCGUGCGGGCGAUACGGGCAGACUUGAGUACUGCAGGGGAGGACUGGAAUUCCUGGUGUAGCGGUGGAAUGCGCAGAUAUCAGGAGGAACACCGGUGGCGAAGGCGGGUCUCUGGGCAGUAACUGACGCUGAGGAGCGAAAGCGUGGGGAGCGAACAGG
rnacentral:rRNA from 1 species